rnacentral:rRNA from 1 species
ACGCACGCUGGCGGCGCGCCUAACACCUGCCAGUCGAACGAGCGAGAGAGAGCUUGCUUUCUCGAGCGAGUGGCGAACGGGUGAGUAACGCGUGAGGAACCUGCCUCAAAGAGGGGGACAACAGUUGGAAACGACUGCUAAUACCGCAUAAGCCCACGGCUCGGCAUCGAGCAGGGGGAAAAGGAGCAAUCCGCUUUGAGAUGGCCUCGCGUCCGAUUAGCUAGUUGGUGGGGUAACGGCCCACCAAGGCGACGAUCGGUAGCCGGACUGAGAGGUUGAACGGCCACAUUGGGACUGAGACACGGCCCAGACUCCUACGGGAGGCAGCAGUGGGGAAUAUUGCACAAUGGGGGAAACCCUGAUGCAGCGACGCCGCGUGGAGGAAGAAGGUCUUCGGAUUGUAAACUCCUGUUGUUGGGGAAGAUAAUGACGGUACCCAACAAGGAAGAGACGGCUAACUACGUG